rnacentral:rRNA from 1 species
AUUGAACGCUGGCGGCAGGCUUAACACAUGCAAGUCGAGCGGAGAGAGGUAGCUUGCUACUGAUCUUAGCGGCGGACGGGUGAGUAAUGCUUAGGAAUCUGCCUAUUAGUGGGGGACAACAUUUCGAAAGGAAUGCUAAUACCGCAUACGUCCUACGGGAGAAAGCAGGGGAUCUUCGGACCUUGCGCUACUAGAUGAGCCUAAGUCGGAUUAGCUAGUUGGUGGGGUAAAGGCCUACCAAGGCGACGAUAUGUAGCGGGUCUGAGAGGAUGAUCGGCAACACUAGGAAUGGGCCACGGCCCAGACGUCUACGGGAGGCAGCAGUGGUGAAGAUUGGACAAUGGGCGGAAGCCUGACCCAGCCAUGCCGCGUGUGUGAAGAAGGCCUUAUGGUUGUAAAGCACUUUAAGCGAGGAGGAGGCUACUUUAGUUAAUACCUAGAGAUAGUGGACGUUACUCGCAGAAUAAGCACCGGCUAACUCUGUGCCAGCCGCCGCAGUAAGAC